UUUAUCUACUUGGACCAAGACAAUUUUCAGACCUAAUUUUUCCAGAGCAAAAUCUACCAGGUGAAUGGUUUCAUCGUCAUCGACAACCCCAUUGCCAUUUCUAUCGGCUUUCCAGAUGGCUUAUUCACUCUUGAUACCCUUAAACCAGCUAUCUCCUUUGGCUUUGCGGAAGGCAUCGUGGCUUUUCUUCCCAUCUUUGUUCUUGUCAUACCUCAUCAACCAUUUUUUGAACUGUUCCAAAGUUAUCUCUCCAUUUUCAUCAACUAUGCGACGAUGACAACUCAUAAUUUCUUUGCGCAUCCUACCUUGUUAUGACUCGUGGCCCUCACGUUUAUAGUAGUUUCAUCCUACCUUGUUUUCCCUUCUUUUUAAGGGUUGGGG
rnacentral:lncRNA from 1 species